rnacentral:rRNA from 1 species
GACGAACGCUGGCGGCGUGCCUAAUACAUGCAAGUUGAGCGCCGAAGGUUGGUACUUGUACCAACUGGAUGAGCAGCGAACGGGUGAGUAACGCGUGAGGAAUCUGCCUUUGAGCGGGGGACAACAUUUGGAAACGAAUGCUAAUACCGCAUAAAAACUUUAAACACAAGUUUUAAGUUUGAAAGAUGCAAUUGCAUCACUCAAAGAUGAUCCCGCGUUGUAUUAGCUAGUUGGUGAGGUAAAGGCUCACCAAGGCGAUGAUACAUAGCCGACCUGAGAGGGUGAUCGGCCACAUUGGGACUGAGACACGGCCCAAACUCCUACGGGAGGCAGCAGUAGGGAAUCUUCGGCAAUGGACGAAAGUCUGACCGAGCAACGCCGCGUGAGUGAAGAAGGUUUUCGGAUCGUAAAACUCUGUUGGUAGAGAAGAACGUUGGUGAGAGUGGAAAGCUCAUCAAGUGACGGUAACUACCCAGAAAGGGACGGCUAACUACGUG